rnacentral:misc_RNA from 1 species
AAUGUACAUGGCGCCCCCUGGUAUUCCGGGGAGCAUGCCCGUUUCAGAAUCAUUGAAAGUCUCAUGCCAGCACACCCAGUGCCGUUGCAAAACGGCGCUGGCUGUGUUGGCGUGGACGCUGGACGUCUUUGCGUCGGCGACGACGGCAAUCGUCUGAAAAUCAUUGUGCGUGCUGGCGGCAACUUUGUCCCUUGCUUGGCCCCCUCAAAGUGCAACAGAGGUGAUCUAUUUCACGAUGAGGGCCGAGUGAGGAACCGCCGGUGCGGACCUCUCCGAAUGUCAAACGGCCGUGGGAGGUUCGUCCCCCCCAUGACCGCUGAACUUGGUCUGAAAUCGGGCAAGAAAACCCGCUGAACUUAA